rnacentral:rRNA from 1 species
GAUGAACGCUGGCGGCGUGCCUAAUACAUGCAAGUCGAGCGAACGGACGAGAAGCUUGCUUCUCUGAUGUUAGCGGCGGACGGGUGAGUAACACGUGGAUAACCUACCUAUAAGACUGGGAUAACUUCGGGAAACCGGAGCUAAUACCGGAUAAUAUUUUGAACCGCAUGGUUCAAAAGUGAAAGACGGUCUUGCUGUCACUUAUAGAUGGAUCCGCGCUGCAUUAGCUAGUUGGUAAGGUAACGGCUUACCAAGGCAACGAUGCAUAGCCGACCUGAGAGGGUGAUCGGACACACUGGAACUGAGACACGGUCCAGACUCCUACGGGAGGCAGCAGUAGGGAAUCUUCCGCAAUGGGCGAAAGCCUGACGGAGCAACGCCGCGUGAGUGAUGAAGGUCUUCUGAUCGUAAAACUCUGUUAUUAGGGAAGAACAUAUGUGUAAGUAACUGUGCACAUCUUGACGGUACCUAAUCAGAAAGCCACGGCUAACUACGUG